rnacentral:rRNA from 1 species
ACGAACGCUGGCGGCGUGCUUAACACAUGCAAGUCGAACGGAAAGGCCCCUUUGGGGGUACUCGAGUGGCGAACGGGUGAGGAACACGUGAGUAACCUGCCCUUGACUUCGGGAUAACUUCAGGAAACUGGGGCUAAUACCGGAUAGGAAUCCUUGCUGCAUGGUGGGGGUUGGAAAGGUUCGGCGGUUUUGGAUGGACUCGCGGCUUAUCAGCUUGUUGGUGGGGUAGUGGCUUACCAAGGCUUUGACGGGUAGCCGGCCUGAGAGGGCGAGCGGCCACAUUGGGACUGAGAGACGGCCCAGACUCCUACGGGAGGCAGCAGUGGGGAAUCUUGCACAAUGGGCGGAGGCCUGAUGCAGCAACGCCGCGUGCGGGAUGACGGCCUUCGGGUUGUAAACCGCUUUCAGCAGGGGCGAAGCUUGUGGUGACGGUACCUGCAGAAGAAGCACCGGCUAACUACGUG